rnacentral:rRNA from 1 species
AACGAACGCUGGCGGCAGGCCUAACACAUGCAAGUCGAGCGAGGACUUCGGUUCUAGCGGCGGACGGGUGAGUAACGCGUGGGAAUGUGCCCUUCUCUACGGAAUAGCCCUGGGAAACUGGGAGUAAUACCGUAUACGCCCUAUUGGGGAAAGAUUUAUCGGAGCAGGAUCAGCCCGCGUUGGAUUAGGUAGUUGGUGGGGUAAUGGCCUACCAAGCCGACGAUCCAUAGCUGGUUUGAGAGGAUGAUCAGCCACACUGGGACUGAGACACGGCCCAGACUCCUACGGGAGGCAGCAGUGGGGAAUCUUAGACGAGGGGGGCAACCCUGAUCUCGCCAUGCCGCGUGAGUGAUGAAGGCGUUAGGGUUGUAAAGCCCUUUCAGCUGGGAAGAUAAUGACGGUACCAGCAGAAGAAGCCCCGGCUAACUCCGUG